UUGACCUCGGAUCAGGUAGGAAUACCCGCUGAACUUAAGCAUAUCAAUAAGCGGAGGAAAAGAAACCAACAGGGAUUGCCCUAGUAACGGCGAGUGAAGCGGCAACAGCUCAAAUUUGAAAUCUGGCCCUAGGCCCGAGUUGUAAUUUGCAGAGGAUGCUUCGGGCGCGGCGCCUUCCAAGUCCCCUGGAACGGGGCGCCAGAGAGGGUGAGAGCCCCGUACUGUCGGACGCCAAGCCUAUGUGAAGCUCCUUCGACGAGUCGAGUAGUUUGGGAAUGCUGCUCAAAAUGGGAGGUAGACCCCUUCUAAAGCUAAAUACCGGCCAGAGACCGAUAGCGCACAAGUAGAGUGAUCGAAAGAUGAAAAGCACUUUGAAAAGAGGGUUAAAUAGCACGUGAAAUUGUUGAAAGGGAAGCGCUUGUGACCAGACUUGCACCGGGGCGAUCAUCUGGCGUUCUCGCCAGUGCACUCGCUUCGGUUCAGGCCAGCGUCGGUUCGCGCGGGGGGUUAAAGGUACUGGGAACGUGGCUCCUCCGGGAAUGUUAUAGCCCAGUGCGUCUAGCCCUCGAGUGAACCGAGGAACGCGCUCUGCAAGGACGCUGGCGUAAUGGUUACUAGCGACCCGUCUUGA
rnacentral:rRNA from 1 species